UGUUCGUCAUUUUCCUUCCUGAUUGAAAACAGACACGAAAGAUGGUGAAAGGGAGAUUAAUCUGAAGAGCAAAGUGCAUUUGGAAAAUUGAAAACCACAGCUGCCAAUAUGGCCCAGGCUCUGUGAGAUGACAUGCAACUGGUAGGAGGUAAGCUAUGUCAGGGCGGGACA